GAGGUCACUGCUAUCGGGGUUCGAUUAAGCCAUGCGAGUCGAGAGGGUUCGGCCCUCGGCGUACUGCUCAGUAACACGUGGAUAACCUGCCCUAAGGAAGGGAAUACCCCCGGGAAACUGGGGAUAAUGCCCUAUAGGUUACCGAUGCUGGAAUGCUCGGUAACCGAAAGUUCCGGCGCCUUAGGAUGGAUCUGCGGCCGAUUAGGUUGUUGUCGGGGUAACGGCCCAACAAGCCGAUAAUCGGUACGGGUUGUGGGAGCAAGAGCCCGGAGUUGGAUUCUGAGACACGAAUCCAGGCCCUACGGGGCGCAGCAGGCGCGAAAACUUUACAAUGCGGGCAAUCGUGAUAAGGAAACCCUGAGUGCCUGUCAAUGCAGGCUGUUCUGGUGUCUAACACACACCAGGAGAAAGGGCGGGGCAAGACCGGUGCCAGCCGCCGCGGUAAUACCGGCUGCUCGAGUGAUAGCCGCUUUUACUGGGCUUAAAGCGUUCGUAGCUUGGUCGUUAAGUCUCUGGGGAAAUCUUUUGGCUCAACCAAAAGGCGUCUCAGGGAAACUGGCGAUCUUG
rnacentral:rRNA from 1 species